UACGUAGGGUGCAAGCGUUAAUCGGAAUUACUGGGCGUAAAGCGUGCGCAGGCGGUUGUGCAAGACAAAUGUGAAAUCCCCGGGCUCAACCUGGGAAUUGCAUUUGUGACUGCACGGCUAGAGUGUGUCAGAGGGGGGUAGAAUUCCACGUGUAGCAGUGAAAUGCGUAGAGAUGUGGAGGAAUACCGAUGGCGAAGGCAGCCCCCUGGGAUAACACUGACGCUCAUGCACGAAAGCGUGGGGAGCAAACAGG
rnacentral:rRNA from 1 species